AAUCAACGCUGGCGGCGUGCCUAACACAUGCAAGUCGAACGCGAAAGGGGCUUCGGCCCUGAGUAGAGUGGCGUCCGGGUGAGUAACGCGUGGGUAAUCUACCCUCGGGUGGGGAAUAACCAGCCGAAAGGUUGGCUAAUACCGCGUACGCUUCCGGGUCUCCGGAUCCGGAAGGAAAGUCACACCGUGGGUGUGACGCUCAAGGAUGGGCUCAUGUCCUAUCAGCUUGUUGGUGAGGUAACGGCUCACCAAGGCAACGACGGGUAGCUGGUCUGAGAGGACGAUCAGCCACACUGGCACUGCGACACGGGCCAGACUCCUACGGGAGGCAGCAGUAAGGAAUAUUGCGCAAUGGGCGAAAGCCUGACGCAGCGACGCCGCGUGGGGGAGUGAAGGUCUUCGGAUUGUAAACCCCUUUUAGGAGGGAAAAUAGGGACGAGCAAUCGUCCGGAUGGUACCUCCAGAAAAG
rnacentral:rRNA from 1 species